rnacentral:rRNA from 1 species
UCGAGAAUCAUUCGCAAUGGGCGCAAGCCUGACGAUGCGACGCCGUGUGAGCGAUGAAGGCCUUCGGGUCGUAAAGCUCUUUCGCUUGGGAACAAGAGAAGCUUGCUAAUAACAGGACAAUUUGAGGGUACCAGGUAAAGAAGCACCGGCUAACUCCGUGCCAGCAGCUGCGGUAAUACGGAGGGUGCAAGCAUUAAUCGGAUUUAUUGGGCGUAAAGGGCGCGUAGGCGGAAAGAUAAGUCAGGUGUGAAAUCCCGAGGCUCAACCUCGGAACAGCAAUUGAAACUAUCAUUCUAGAGGCUAGAUGGAGAAAACGGAAUUCCACAAGUAGCGGUGAAAUGCGUAGAUAUGUGGAAGAACACCGGUGGCGAAGGCGGUUUUCUAAUUUAGACCUGACGCUGAGGCGCGAAAGCAAGGGGAUCAAACAGGAUUAGAUACCCCCGUAGUCC